rnacentral:lncRNA from 1 species
GCUUUUCAUGGGUCCACCUCCAAAUGCGGAUUUGUUACCAAAUCCAACCUGCGGAUGGCAACAUGCCUGUCGUAAACGAACCAACCAACGCCUCAUAGAUUCUUCGUCACACAAAUCCAAAUUUCUGUCUUUGAAAAAGUGCAAAGACUUGGCCGCCUCUGAUAAUAAAUCCUGGUAGUUCGUUUCUUCUACUACACUAAGUCUUGUAGUCAUGCAGAUUCGAUGUUGAGGAGGUAAUUUUAAUUCUUCUUCAACGUCCUGUUUAGAAUGUCUGCAUACAAGGGAGCCAAACAGAUCGCAAAAUUCACGAACACGUUUCUUCUCUAUAAUUUGCAUCCAAGCUUGUUUUUUGUAUAAAUACAUAGGGGAGUAGCGAAGAAGAAAUAAAAGGCCAAAAAGGUCAUCAACUUCACUACGUACGGGAGUUCCACUUACAGUCCAACAAUUGACACGAGGUAUGCGAUAAAUCAUUUGUGCGACAUUACUCUGUGAAGUUUCAACCAUCUGAGCUUCAUCAACACAAAUUCUCCACCAACAUACAUCAAUCAAUGGAGACUUUGGAGAAACAUGUCGCUUUUCAUGUCUUAAGGUCCUGGAAUGAGAUUCAGUGUACAAUAGCUCAAACCGUAAAUCAGAAUAAGAUGUUACCACUAUAUCACAAUCCAAAAAAAUUUUAGCUGAUUUCAAACCAUUGGAUUUUCGGAUUCCUUGGUAAUGGAAUACUUUCAAUGAUGGCACAUGCAAAUCUAUCUCAGAUAACCAUUGAUCGAGAAUUGUAGAAGGCGUAAUUAUUAGGGUGGCCUUGGAAUACUUUACAUUUUUUCCGACGACCUGAUCGAAAGUACAAGUAUCAGUCAAAGAAAUUGGCAACUGAUGAUGCAAAACUAAUCCUAAGACUUCCAAAGUUUUUCCCAUGCCCAUUUCAUCGGCUAAAAUGCCUCCACGUAUAUCACCGGACGCAAGCAAAUAUGUUUUUUCUUUCGAAAAUGUCAUAUAGCCGUAAACAUGAUUAACGUAAACCAUUCGAUCAUCAAAAAGACUUUUGCAAUGGUACCAUAGAGGUGGUAAAUCAUUUGAGGUUAGGAAUUUCUCUUCUUCUCUUCGUUUCAUCCAUUCUAAAACACGCAUUUGAAAUGGUAAAAGUUCCGAAGAAAGCCUUGGAUCGCGUGAUACAUUGGCGAAACGUAGGCUUUUUGCCAAUUUUCUUGCACAAUCGUAAAAUAGUGCAGUGUUAAUAUCUAAACAAGAAUAUUCCUCAUCUUCAGACGGAAGGAACGUAUAGUCUAGUAAAGCAGUGUAUGAGGAAGAUGAUCCAGAUGAAAGAAUCGCAUCUUGAGGGGCAAGAAAAGAGUCGAGUAUGGAAAUGCCAAACGACAAAAUUAACUCGGAUCCUUUUACAGUAACAUAAGAUGUGUAUUUUAUAAUUUUCUUCAGCCGCCUAUUAUCCUCCCAAAGCUUACUCCAAAUUUUGAGAGGUGCUUUUAAAGCAGAGUAAGUAUCCUUAUUCAAGUCGACAGAAAACAAAGGAAUCAAGUUUUUGGCCAAUGAAAUUUUUCUUUGAGUAAAACUAUAUGCAUGUAGUUUCUCAGAUCCAUCAACCCAAAAAACGACAGGAUAAAUAGUAGACUUUAGCCGAUUUAACUCGUCCUCUGGUCCACGCCAUAUCUGCUGGUCUAGCUUGAGUUGGUGCUGGAAUGCACGGUAGCAAUUGGCGAAAUCACUUUCCAAAAGGUUGUUUCUUUCAUUUAGUAAGGAAGCCUCCUUCUCUAUUUUUCGCCUCUUAGUUCGGUCCAUAAUGUUCCCUCUCUUAAUUAAAUACAGUCGUGUUUUGAACCAAUAGACUUAAAAAUUUUAGAAUGAAUAGAAUUCUUUAAUGUACAAAGAAAUAAACGAAAAUAUAUAAACCCUCAAGAACACAAAAGGGUAGGCAUUGUGUUAUGUGCUUUUGUUCUUAGUUGUGGGCAAAAAGUGUCUUGAUUAAAACAUGUGCCACUUUUUUUUUGCUAAAGCUUGCAGAGUCGAAUAUUACUUUGGUAUUUUUUCCCCACCUUUCUUCCCUCUUUUUUUUUUUGGUUUAAAAGUACGACAAGGUAAAUAUCGAUAAAUCGUUUGUAAGGGAAUUCUAUUAUUCACGGUUGAAUCAGUACAAACACGAAUUAGAACUCAAAAUUACCUAAGAAAUAACAUCUACGUUAAUUAGUAAGUAAAUUGUAAAUACUAUUAAAAUUACCGAUACACUUAAUAUCUCAUUUGCUGGCUAAAAGAAAGAGCCCUUUUUACUCGGUAUUGUACAAACACACUAUUCCUUAUUGCUAAAACACUGUGCUCAUCCUUUAAGUAUAUAUCGAUUACCAAGUUUAAUUCAAUUAGCAAAAAAAUAUAAAUUCUAAAUAAAACGUAAACUGGUAGGAAAGUUUUUAAAAGUGAUGUCACCUUCACUGGACAAAGAUUAUUGUUAUUGUCAUAAACUAAAGUACAAAAUAUAAACUAAAGAUUGUAUACAUAUUAAAGAAAUAUCCUAGUUUGAAGGAUUCUUGUCGUCGCAAAUAUUGUUAAACCAAACUG